GCGGGUGUGGCGAAACUGGUAGACGCAGCGGAUUUAGGUUCCGUCGCCGCAAGGCGUGGAGGUUCAAGUCCUCUCACCCGCACCA
rnacentral:tRNA from 1 species